rnacentral:lncRNA from 1 species
GGGAUUUGGGGAUCAGGGACGGAGGUAACACACAGACGACUUUAAAGCGAGUCAAAGAGGAUGAGACUGAGGAUUUGCGUGUGAAAAAGAAGACUGCAAAAGAUGAAAAAAAAGUGAGGGGGUUGAGAGAGAGAGAAGCGCGGGGGUGUGAGAUGAUGGAUAGGUAGACGGGGCGGACGCGUGGGGGUGAUAUGACAGAUACCUCGUGAGUAACUGCGGGCCGGGGGCAAGAUAGCUCAUGCUAGAAUUACACAGGAGGGCUCUAAAGUGAGAGUGUGUGCGAGAGAGGGAAAGUGCAUUUCAGAGGUACUAGAAUAUACUAUAUUUAUAGGUGUGUGUGUGAACAUGUAUGUGUGCUGUGGGGCUCUAUAUGUGGAGUUUAUGAGAGAAGGAGGGAGCAUAUGAUAGAAAGAAAAAGAGAGAUGAAGAGAAAAUGACAAAGAAAGACACAAAAAAGACAAAGAAAGAACUGAAUGAAAAAGUACACAAGAAAAGAAAAAAAUCAAAAAAACACCAGGGGUGUUGGGUCAGAGAGUAAAGGGAUGGAGAGGAAGAUGGAAGAGAGGAAAAUGAGAAGAAAAGUGGGUAGAGAAAGUCUUAAAGAAAAGAUAAGAAGACAAUAAAAGAGGGAAAAAGGACAAAAAGGCAAAAGAAAGUGAGAAACGGGUGAAAAGAAAGAAAGAAAGAAAGAAAGAAAGAAAGAAAGAAAGAAAGAAAGAAAGAAAGAAGGAGAGAUGUGGAUGGGGAAGCAAAAGGGAAAGAGAGUCAGAGGGGGAAUGGGAGAAGGACUGAGAGUGUAAGGACAAAGAAAAACACACAAGAGAGGAAGGGGGAAAGUUGCAGAAGAGAAGUGAGAGAGUCCUGACAGAAAGACAAUAUGGCUGAGAAAAAAAGAUGAAGAAGAAGAAAAGGAAGUCAAAGGGGGGAGGCUAAAGUAACUGCAAACAGAUAACGAGGUAUCCCGAGGUGAGCUGUGAAGAGGGGAGCCGAUCAGAUCAGAAAGAGAGAGAGUUAAGCUCUUGCUGACAGAUAAUGAUGUAUUGGCACAACUGGCUUGUAGGUGAGAUUCUCAGCACCUUUGCUACAGCGACUAAUCCUGCAACACAGUCAGACACACCGGGUCAUCAUACUACAUCACCAGACAAGAAGGUAGAGGCAGGAGGCAGGAAAGGACAGCAGGAAAUCACACAGAUGAAAGGAGAAGACAUGGGGCGUGGCAGGGAUGCAGCUCAGCUGAAUGAAAAAGAAGACGGUGUAAAAGUCAGAGAGGUGAAAGAAAGGAGAGUGGUUAAGUGAGAGAGAUGGCAUGGUGGAAGGGGGAGGGGACUCAUUUCAUUUCAGCAUCCACUUCUGCAAAUUCGAAGUAUCCUCUGUGAUAGAUGUUGUUCAACCUCCCACUUAAAGCCCGACGUGCAAAUUGAGGAGCAUCUGCUUUAUCAGAUUCUUGGCCCACAUCCACAUUGUAUUCGUAUGUCAGUCAAACAAUGAGAAGCUCGGGAUUUCAGUCAAACCAAAGUUCAGCCAGGUCAGUUGGACCUUCGUUAGGAGGCGAGACAACUUUAAAAGGAAGAAAGGAGUGAGGCCAGGAAUCCAGACAAGUGAGGAGAUAGGGGAGGAAGAAAGCAAAAGAGCUUGAAAGAAACAAGAGGUGAGGCAGAGGGAAGAGUAGUGAUUGAUAGGUCACUUAGGAAAGAGUCAGCUACAGGAGAAAGUACUGAGAAGAUAGAGAGGGAAUGAACUGAAAAUGAGAUGUUAGCGUGUCCCUUCUUUGAACAAAGAUAUGAUUGGGUCUAAUAUCCCGAAUUCUGCAAGCAAAAGGUCUGAAUCAGUCCACGGAGCCAGCAACUGAUGUAAGACAAUAUCAGUGCCUCGCUCACCCAAAUCAGUCAUAUAAAUACAAGUUAAACCAAGUUGAAACUUUGAACCCUUCCAGAAAGAUAGCUGUGAAUGAAAAUGGACAGUUUUUCUGCAAGAAGUAGGAAAGCAAAGCCAAAUUACCCCUCAGAAAUGGAGCUGUGGCCAUAAAGUGGUUGGUGCCUGUUAUGGCACUAAUACCCAAACCCGUUGGCGUGUGAGAGAUGCCGUCAACCUGGAGAAAGAGUCCUAACUGACCUUUGUGGUCUGUGGGACUCCAGAGGCAGCUGAAAGAUUCUAGCAGGCCAAGUGGAAUGCUGAGACAAAAAUCCAUGUGUGGUAGUAGUUAGGUGAGACCAUGAAGAACAGCUUUCAGGCAGCUUCGAAGAGGUUCUGGACCACUAUCAUGCGUCUCAGGAGGGGAAACCAGGGUGGUGUUCCCCCUUUUUGAGAACAUGUCUCCAUACUCAGAUAUGUGUGACUCCUAAUGACUCCCCAAGUCAAGUUUGUUUGGUCAGUGUGAAGCCAAAAAUCUUGGGCACGUUCUGUCAGUGUCAGGUACCGUCUCCAUUAAACAGCGCGUAUCAUCGCCCAGUGGAAAUGUGUUUGUGUGAGUGUGAGUAGCAGCAGCGUAGUGCAGCCCUGGACAGCUGGGCUCACAGAGAACAACAUACCCCAAACAGGCUACUUUGCCUCUCUGUGUUCAACUUCCUGCUAACUUGGAAAUUAUUCUGUGACUGUUAAAUCUCUACUGUAUGCGAACAAACAACUUCAGACAGCGUUAGCAGCUAAAAGUCCCGCUGAGGUUAUUUUGGAAAAUACCGGAUGACAUGCGCCUCUCCAGUGCAUGGCAUCCUGUCUAGGACAAUCUACUCUGUGCAGAUUGACGUGUGCUAGUCACAUGCUCUGUGGAAAAUAGACUGUAUCUUUAGUGGAGCGGCGCGUAGAGGCACUUCUGAGAUGCGGCUGAGACAUGUACAACACGUCCCAUGCGCCUGUAUUGAUUAGAAUGGGAAUGUAUUUUCUGACAGAAUGGGACUAACACACACACACACACACACACACACACACACACACACACACACACACACAGUGGGUGUUAAGCUUGAGUAACACAGUACACUUCCUCAGCUCAGGCAGAGUUUCAAGAGGUGGACUUGUGUACGGUACGGUUGCUAAUGCAUGCACGCACUCAAGCACGGCACCGUGAAGCACCUGACACUUUCACCCAAAUACCACACAUCACAUCAACACAGUGGUUCAGAAAAAUGUGUCUGAAAUAUAUUGAUGUAUGUUGUUAGUUUAUACUGCUGGUAUUGAGUUGUUGAUCACUGAAUUGGUAUCUUGAUUCAUGAUCAUGGACUGUCACCGUACUAAAAAUGAAACCAUCUCUUCUUCUCCGUUUUAUUCAGCUUAGAGAGAAUCUGUUCAGCUCUGUAUCAACAGUGUUGAUUAAAAAAAACAGCCGGUUUGAUAUGAGGAUUAACAUCCAUGCUUUACACACAGUAUAAUAGGCUCCACGGUGCUUAGGCGCAAAGUAAAGAGAGCGGAGUGCAGAUAAACACACACUGCACCACACAUGAACACAAUCCCA